CAAACUCUCAAAGCACUUUAAAUGCCAGAAGAAGCGUUAUGCAGAGACCCAGUCGAUAGAUGGCAGUGCUCUCUCCUACUCUGAGAGAUGAAGUCGGUCAAUUCCACUGCAUUCUGGAAAGACGGCUAAAGAACUGAAGUGUGGUCAGAAGACUGUGAAGUCUGGCAAAGCAAUUACCUCAGCAUCGGAUCUUACUGUCUUCUUCUCCCGUCCUGUAGCAUUCCUUUGGCAUUCCUACUCCAAAAAAGAACUCUCAUCAGCAGGCCAAGCUCUCGGUGUAGAUGUUGGAUACUUCAUCUUUCCAGAAUAGCUUGAGUUUGACCAAGAACUAGCUAUCUUGACUCUGGCACUCAUUUCCUCAGUGCUAUGUCCUGUCCUUGGAAGAUGCCUCUGAUGAAGUACUGUGUGAAUAUCCAGUGACCUACUGAAAAUUUUUUCUUAAGACAAAUAUAG
ensembl:lncRNA